UACGGAGGGUGCAAGCGUUAUCCGGAUUUACUGGGCGUAAAGGGCGCGUAGGCGGCGUGACAAGUCACUUGUGAAAUCUCCGGGCUUAACUCGGAACGGUCAAGUGAUACUGUCGUGCUAGAGUACAGAAGGGGCAACUGGAAUUCUCGGUGUAGCGGUGAAAUGCGUAGAUAUCGAGAGGAACACCUGCGGCGAAGGCGGGUUGCUGGGCUGAUACUGACGCUGAGGCGCGAAAGCCAGGGGAGCGAACGGG
rnacentral:rRNA from 1 species